ensembl:lncRNA
CCGGUGGUACCAUGUGCUGACCCGGGUGGGUGCUUGCAGGUGAGCCUGGCCAUUGCGUCCAAAACCACUCACCCCUGUGCUCACAAUGCAGGUGCUGGCAUGACUGUCCAGGACUUCUGCAGCUCACCAGGUGACCUCCCAGCUCCUGAGCUGUUCCUGAAUGUGAUCAGCGCYCAGGAGGGAGAACUGGUUUUGGCUCGCUGCUCCCUGGGUGGGGAGUUUCCCGCUACCCGAAUCAUCUUCUGCAAGGAUGGGAUGGAGGUGUACAGCCUGAAAGCCGUACGGGGACAACUGAGUUACUCCGUUCCCCUGAAGGCCUCCCACGAGAGCACGGGGAGGUACACGUGUGGGUACCAGCACAAGGAUGGGAGCAACCGGGUGAGAAGCUCUUCCCUCAGUGCUCCCCGGGACC